ensembl:lncRNA
UGCUGUCCUUCGGCAGGCGGAGGUAUCGGGUGUAGUUGCCUGUUACAGAAAACAUGGAUUGAUAUCGCUUUUUUUAAUGAGCAGCAUUUUUACGGCUUGGUGAAAAAAGGCCAUUAACCUACUUAACAACAUCGCAUGUUGUUGACUGUGGUGCAUGUGGUAGAGAGGGUGCGCCUAACCCUAACCGCAAGGUUGGCGGUUCAACCCCCGGAUUCUCCAUGUCGAAGUGUCCUUGGGCAAGACACCUAACCCCUAAUUGCUCCCCGUGCAAAAAAGCUGUGAAAUAAAAAUGCAAUCCUGUGCGUCAAUCAUGGGAACUGAUUGAGCCUGUAUUGAUCUGCACCAUUGAAGACUGGGCAGUUCACAACAGUCAGUGAGUGUGGCCAAUUAUUUUGUUAACACAGCUUUGGGACUUACAUUUCUGUUGCAACAGCGUGGUUGUAUUUAUCUAAUUGAAUCAGUGCAGGGAUGAUUGUGGGCUUGAAGUAUCAGCUGCUCUGUUCUCUUUAUUGCAGAUGCCUCCAGCGUUACUCAUCUUCAUGUCGCAAUUUCUCAAAGUGCUUAGUUUUUAAGUCCGACCUCCGUUGAAGGCAGAGCUGAGCUCCGUCAUGAGCAGGGCGGUGCGAAGGAGAGCCCCCGCUGAUGAAAGAGGAGCCGGUCACUGUGAAUAUUCUGACCAGCGUGCGUGCUAAAUGAAUUACGAUAUAAUAAGUGUCUGACAAUAUUUUUGAGGUUAUUCCUCCACGGCUCAAUUUGGAUUUGCCGUCGUGACCGAUUGCAAACGUGUGUGCAGUGUUCAAAGGAUCCGACACACUAAUUCCCAACUGGGCAGGAGCUCCAUUUGCUUUUCUU